GCAGCCGGUAGCCGACGUCGGCCACGCCCGGCUCCCCCGGCGUGCCGUGGCGCUCCUGCCAGCGCCCGCUGUCCAGAUCGUCGCUCAGCCGCCGCA
rnacentral:tRNA from 1 species